GUGACAGCCGCCGCGGUAAGACAGAGGGUGCGAACGUUGUUCGGAAUUACUGGGCGUAAAGCGCGUGUAGGCGGCUCGAUAAGUCGGAUGUGAAAGCCCUGGGCUCAACCUAGGAAGUGCAUUCGAAACUGCCGAGCUUGAGUUCUGGAGAGGAAGGCGGAAUUCUCGGUGUAGAGGUGAAAUUCGUAGAUAUCGAGAGGAACACCUGCGGCGAAGGCGGGUUGCUGGGCUGACACUGACGCUGAGGCGCGAAAGCUAGGGGAGCGAACGGGAUUAGAAACCCCUGUAGUCC
rnacentral:rRNA from 1 species